rnacentral:tRNA from 1 species
UAUUCUUAAAUUAUAUAUCUUAAUAUUUUCAAUAUUAUAUUUUUUUUAAAACUAUAAGAAC